rnacentral:rRNA from 1 species
AUUGAACGCUGGCGGCAUGCCUAACACAUGCAAGUCGAACGAGUGGCGGACGGGUGAGUAAUGUCUGGGAAACUGCCCGAUGGCGGGGGAUAACUACUGGAAACGGUAGCUAAUACCGCAUACCAUCGGAUGUGCCCAGAUGGGAUGAGCUAGUAGGUGGGGUAACGGCUCACCUAGGCGACGAUCCAUAGCUGGUCUGCGAGGAUGACCGGCCAAACUGGAACGGAGACACGGUCCAGACUCCUACGGGAGGCAGCAGUGGGUAAUAUUGGGCAAUGGGCGAAAGCCUGAUUCAGCCAUGCCGCGUGUAUGAAGAAGGCCUUCGGGUUGUAAAGUACGUUCAGCGAGGAAGCGUUACUCGCAGAAGAAGCACCGGCUAACUCCGUGCCAGCAGCCGCGGUAAUAC